UACAGAGGUCCCAAGCGUUGUUCGGAUUUACUGGGCGUAAAGGGCGCGUAGGCGGCGUGACAAGUCACUUGUGAAAUCUCUGGGCUUAACCCAGAACGGCCAAGUGAAACUGUUGUGCUAGAGUGCAGAAGGGGCAAUCGGAAUUCUCGGUGUAGCGGUGAAAUGCGCAGAUAUCAGGAGGAACACCGGUGGCGAAGGCGGGUCUCUGGGAAGUAACUGACGCUGAGAAGCGAAAGCGUGGGUAGCGAACAGG
rnacentral:rRNA from 1 species